UACGUAGGGUGCGAGCGUUGUCCGGAAUUAUUGGGCGUAAAGAGCUCGUAGGCGGUUUGUCGCGUCUGCUGUGAAAUCCCGAGGCUCAACCUCGGGCCUGCAGUGGGUACGGGCAGACUGGAGUGCGGUAGGGGAGAAUGGAACUCCUGGUGUAGCGGUGGAAUGCGCAGAUAUCAGGAAGAACACCGAUGGCGAAGGCAGUUCUCUGGGCCGUAACUGACGCUGAGGAGCGAAAGCAUGGGGAGCGAACAGG
rnacentral:rRNA from 1 species